rnacentral:rRNA from 1 species
UACGAAGGGGGCUAGCGUUGCUCGGAAUUACUGGGCGUAAAGGGCGCGUAGGCGGCUCUGUUAGUCAGGCGUGAAAGCCCCGGGCUCAACCUGGGAAUGGCAUUGGAAACUGGUGAGCUAGAGUGCGGUAGGGGCAGAGGGAAUUCCCAGUGUAGCGGUGAAAUGCGUAGAGAUUGGGAAGAACACCGGUGGCGAAAGCGCUCUGCUGGGCCGCAACUGACACUAAUGGGCGAAAGCUAGGGGAGCGAAUGGG